rnacentral:rRNA from 1 species
CAGCCGCCGCGGUAAUACGGAGGGGGCUAGCGUUGUUCGGAAUUACUGGGCGUAAAGCGCACGUAGGCGGCUUUACAAGUCAGAGGUGAAAGCAUGGUGCUCAACACCAGAAUUGCCUUUGAGACUGUAUCGCUUGAACGUCGGAGAGGUGAGUGGAAUUCCGAGUGUAGAGGUGAAAUUCGUAGAUAUCGGAAGGAACACCUGUGGCGAAAGCGGCUCACUGGACCAUUACUGACGCUGAGGCGCGAAAGCUUGGGGAGCAAACAGGAUUAGAUACCCCCGUAGUCCCUGUCUCUUAUAC